CCUACGGGUGGCAGCAGUGGGGGAUAUUGCACAAUGGGGGAAACCCUGAUGCAGCGACGCCGCGUGAGUGAAGAAGUCUUUCGGUAUGUAAAGCUCUAUCAGCAGGGAAGAAAAUGACAGUACCUGACCAAGAAGCCCCGGCUAACUACGUGCCAGCGGCCGCGGUACUACGUAGGGGGCAAGCUUUAUCCGGAUUUACUGGGUGUAAGGGGACCGUAGGCGGUUAUGUAGGUCUGGAGUGAAAGCCCGGGGCCCAACCCCGGAACUGCCUUGGAUACUGUGUAACUGGAGUGCAGAAGGGGCAGGCGGAAUGCCUGGUGUAGCGGUGAAAUGCGUAGAUAUCA
rnacentral:rRNA from 1 species